UACGGGGGGUGCGAGCGUUGUCCGGAAUCACUGGGCGUAAAGGGCGCGUAGGUGGUCUGAUAAGGGUGUGGUGAAAGCCCGGGGCUCAACCCCGGGUCGGCCGUGCCGACUGUUAGACUAGAGUGCAGAAGGGGCAACUGGAAUUCUCGGUGUAGCGGUGAAAUGCGUAGAUAUCGAGAGGAACACCUGCGGCGAAGGCGGGUUGCUGGGCUGACACUGACGCUGACAGCGCGAAAGCUAGGGGAGCGAACGGG
rnacentral:rRNA from 1 species